CGGAUCGUUGAGGCGAUUCCGCCUAGAUCAAAACAUUCGGCCACCUCCUUCGCACCGCCACACGCGGGAUCCUGCCUGGCCUCCUCCCUCGCCGCCGCGCCACGCCGCGGAUCCCCUUCCUCCCUCGCCGGCGCCGCCGCAAGCCCGAAGCACGCCGCCUACCGCCUCUGCUUUCCUCCCAACGGAGAGCGCGGACCGCCCCCGACGCGGACCCUCGCGGCCUCACCGCCGCCGAGCGCCUACCCGCUCGCAAAUCACCGGCCGUCGCCUAGGGUUCUCCCAUGGCCACCGCCUAGGCCAGCCAACGUCGGAUCCUACCUUCCGCCGCCGCCAACUCGUGGGGUGCGCCGUCGUCUCGUCUGCCGUUUCUUCGCCUUCUCGGUGCGACCAUCGCGCGGGACUCUCCCGUGGGCGUGGGCGUGGGCGGUAUCGACCUCGCGGAGUCGCGGUGCUGUUCACCGAGGGAUUCCCGCCGUCGGGAACCAGCGUCCUUCGCUGGGUCUGCACUCUUCCUUCCGCCGUGAGAAGGCCGCUGGAGUCAGGGUGGUUGGUGACAAAAGGCUCCAUUCUUGAGAUUUGUGCUCUAUCACCGCCUUAUUUCCUCGUGCUCAACGGUUGAAUUUCUCGUAUAAGGAGUCAUAGGAUAUUGUUGGAACGGCACUCGGUAAUAAUCUUCAAACUUAGGUUUGAGGCUGGAAUACUAUUGAGCAUUUUAAGCUCGGUUAUUUGAAUCAAGGUCAAUGUGCGAUGAGAAUGGAACUCUUGUUGUCGUGCUUUUUGAUAUAUCAAGCAUGUCAUCAACAUUAUUUGGUGUCAAAGCUUAUUCACGAAUUAUCCAAAUGUCGUGAAUGGAACUUGGGCUGUCAGUUGACAAAUUGUCAAAAAAAAUCAUGGCAACUUGUGGAAGGAACUUAGAGCUUUAGAUCACAAGGAUGGAAAACCAUUGUGUGAUUCUCACUCUGACAAAUUUCAAGUUCUUUUUGAAAUUUGAUAAGACAUAUCCAGUCUCCCAAGAUGUUUGCAUCGUAAAUGAGGACAGAGUAUUAUACUUGUAAUUUAUUUCUUCUUUAGAUACCUGAUUCUCGUGUAAAUGUACCAUUCUUAUUAUAUGAUAAUAAAGAAACUUUCUGUGA